GUCAUUUCAAAACAUGACGUCAUAAAAAUGAAACCGCUAAAGUUGAACGUUUUCUGUUGCGUGAACCAUCGGAAUUCGUAUGAUAUUGUAUUAAAACUGAUUUUUUGAGUAGGUUUUGUUUAUUUCUAUUCUAUUGCAUUAUUCGCAUAUUUACUCGUUUCAGCAAGUCAACAUGGCGGCUCCUUAGUUACAAAAUGUCAACUUUGGAUUAACGGAAGCUUACGAGAAAAACAUGUAAAUUAAAAAUGGCAUAUGUUGGGUUUGAGAAUUAAAAGAAUUAAAAAGUUUUUUUUCUAGCAGUUAUUCACGAACUAACCUACGCAAGCUACAUAUUUAUAAAGAUUUU
rnacentral:lncRNA from 1 species